rnacentral:rRNA from 1 species
UAUGUGAUCGUCUCUCGCAUAUCAAUAAGCGGAGGAAAAGAAACUAACAAGGAUUCCCCUAGUAACGGCGAGUGAAGCGGGAAGAGCUCAAAUUUGAAAUCUUAAAGGGUUUCCCUUUACGAAUUGUAGUUUAAAGAAGUGUUUUCUGUUGAGGUUUUGGUAAAAGUUCUUUGGAAUAGGACAUCAUAGAGGGUGAGAAUCCCGUAUUUGACCUUUACUUUCAACUUUGUGAUACACUUUCAAAGAGUCGGAUUGUUUGGGAAUGCAGUCCAAAAUGGGUGGUAAAUUUCAUCUAAAGCUAAAUAUUGGCGAGAGACCGAUAGCGAACAAGUACCGUGAGGGAAAGAUGAAAAGAACUUUGAAAAGAGAGUUAAACAGUACGUGAAAUUGUCAAAAGGGAAGCGUUUGACACCAGUGUUGUUUUUCUGAAAAUCAAUUAUAACUGUUUAUGCUAAGUUGUUUAGACUUUAUCAGCUAACUGUUUAGUUUUGAGCUUUUCUUUAAUGCACUUUUCAGUUAACAAGUCAACAUCAAUUUCUUUUGCUGUAAAAAAGCUUGAGGAAGGUGGCUUGAGAUUCGUCUUAAGUGUUUAUAGCCUCUUGCCUAUGCAGUCGGAGAGAUUGAGGUCUGCAGCGUAGAUCCUUCGGGGCUAAAUGCAUUUGUGCUAAGUUAUAGCAUUUUAUAGACAACUUGUUGACUAUGAUUUGUCUUGUAGCUUACUCGCUUAUGUUAUUUUACCUACGCUUAGGAUGUUGACUGAUAUGUAGUCGUA